rnacentral:rRNA from 1 species
GUCUACAGCCAUACCACCCUGAACGCAUCCAAUCUCGUGUGACAUUGGAAGCUAAGCAGCGUCGGGCCUGGUUAGUACUUGGAUGGGAGAAAUGCAUUUGCUGUAUUCA